ensembl:lncRNA
UAGAGUAGUAUUGUGUUAGUAUAUUUAGUAGUGUAGUAUUGUCAUAGUAUAUUUAGUAGUGUAGUAUUGUGUUAGUAUAUUUAGUAGUGUAGUAUUGUGUUAGUAUAUUUAGUAGUGUAGUAUUGUGUUAGUAUAUUGUAAGUGUAGUAUUGUGUUAGUAUAUUUAAGAGUGUAGUAUUGUGUAAGUAUAUUUAGUAGUGUAGUAUUGUCAUAGUAUAUUUAGGAGUGUAGUAUUGUCAUAGUAUAUUUAGUAGUGUAGUAUUGUGUUAGUAUAUUUAGUAGUGUAGUAUUGUGUUAGUAUAUUUUGUAAGUGUAGUAUUGUGUUAGUAUAUUUAGUAGUGUAGUAUUGUGUUAGUAUAUUUAGUAGUGUAGUAUUGUGUUAGUAUAUUUUGUAAUGUAGUAUUGUGUUAAUAUAUUUAGUAAUGUAGUAUAUUGUAAGUGUAGUAUUGUGUUAGUAUAUUUAGUAGUGUAGUAUUGUGUAAGUAUUGUGUAAGUAUAUUUAGUAGUGUAGUAUAUAAGUAUGCAAGGCAUCGCCUCCAUUGGCCCGUUCUCCUGACCUCCAUCCUCCCUCUAUUCUCUCUUCUUUCUCUUCUCUCUUUUUUAAGAUUUCUUUCACUCUUUUGUUCCUCCUCUUCUCUCGAGGGUGCAGGCAG